GCCGCGGUGGCGGAACUGGUAGACGCACAGGACUCAAAAUCCUGCGAUGGCGACAUCAUGAGAGUUCGAGUCUCUCCCGCGGCA
rnacentral:tRNA from 1 species